UCUGAUGGGUGUUAAAAGCAGCCUGGCCUCAGAAAGCUCACUGCACACAGCUUUUGUCGGUAGUUAUCUGCUGAAGGAGCCCUAAUUUUUUAAGGAAACCUGGGAUGCUGCAGGAAGCAGAGAUGGUGGUGGUGGCCCUAUGCAAGGUGCUGGUUAGGCAACUCUCAAAGGACCUCCAACAAGGACCCAUCACAGGAGGAAAACCAAAACGUGUCUGUGUCAAAAGCAAGAGCUGAAUGUGCUGCACUGAUUUUUCCCAGGUUAAAGGCAGAAGCAGCUUUUUGUGGCACAGAAGCUUGGUGUGGAGACAGUGGCUCAGCGUGAGGUGUUUUCCUUGGAGGAUGGAUGAGUAAGAAACCAGAGCAGCCCUGCAGGGCACAGGGUUUUGUGCCACCCAGAUGGAUGUCACCGUGGGAUGUGAGGUCACUGCACCACCCUGGCUGUGCUCCUGCAGGUUUUGCUUUGUUCCAGAAAGCUGCUCCAGCUGCCGCUAUUUUGAGGUGCCUUUCCUUCCCUG